UACGUAGGGACCAAGCGUUGUUCGGAUUUACUGGGCGUAAAGGGCGCGUAGGCGGCAAUUCAAGUCAUCUGUGAAAUCUCCGGGCUUAACUCGGAACGGUCAGAUGAUACUGCUUUGCUAGAGUGCGGAAGUGGCAAUCGGAAUUCUUGGUGUAGCGGUGAAAUGCGUAGAUAUCAAGAGGAACACCUGAGGUGAAGACGGGUUGCUGGGCCGACACUGACGCUGACAGCGCGAAAGCCAGGGGAGCAAACGGG
rnacentral:rRNA from 1 species